UUAGAUAAUCUGUAAAGCUCAGGAGGGAUAGCGCCAUGGAUGAAUAAGUUAGUUACACUAUUGUUUUAGGCUGUCUUUGAUCUCUUUGCACAUCUCUAGCGCUAUCCAUCUUGAGUUUUAUGGCUUUUUCAU
rnacentral:pre_miRNA from 1 species